rnacentral:rRNA from 1 species
UGGGGAAUAUUGCACAAUGGGGGGAAAACCCGUGAUGCAGCGACGCCGCGUGAGCGAGGAAGUAUUUCGGUAUGUAAAGCUCUGUCAGCAGGGAAGAAGAAUGACGGUACCUGAAGAAGAAGCACCGGCUAAAUACGUGCC